CUGAGGCUGGUGCCUCAGGUCCUCCUGAAUCCAGGGCUGGUGCUCUAUCCACUGCACCACCUGGCUGCCCCCAUCUCUGGAAUUUUAAAGACCAAACAUCUCUUUCUACAGAAAGGACAAGAGUAGCCCCAGAAUCUUAGGCAACUGGAGGCAAUAAUGCCUGACAUGUACCACCCACAGCUGACUGUGAACCAACCAAUAAGUGGGCAUUGAUGAAACAGUCUCUAAAUACCAGGCCAUGUAUUGGUUCUUCUAGGGUUACAACAAUGGAAGUGAGUGUGUGUGUGUAUACAUAUAUGUAUACAUGUAUACAUAUAGACUACAUAUAUACUAUAUGCAUGUCUAUAUGAUCAGAAACAAUAUCUAUAACUUUUUGGUGACCCCUAAUAUUAUAAAUUACAGAGGAGUUGUAGAUAAAAUUAUGGAUCUGAAACAAGAAAAAAUGUUUGUAAUAAUAGCAAUAUCUAGCAUUUAAAUAACACUUUAAGGUUUGCAAAGUGUUGUGUGUAUAGGAACACACACACGUGUUUGUAUAAAAUCAUUCUGGAAAGAUAGCUUGCAGUGAGCUUAUGAAGUCAAAUGUUCAAGGGGCAGGAAGAUUGAUUUUUUUUUUCACAUAAGCAAUCAUAAUAAAUAGUAUAGCAGUUGAAGCAUUGCAGGUAUUAUCUCAUUUUAUCUAGUGGCAAUUGGGAGCCCCUAAAGCUCCUUGAGCUGAGGAUUCCACAGUCAGACCUGUGCUUUUGGGAGCAUCGUAACAUUCCCGUGGUUCACGAUGAGCUCUCCGGCAAAUCCGUUGUAUGUGCAUUUGAACAUAAAGAGCUGAUUUCCAGAAUAGCCUUGGGAGCCAAACUUGUCCCUGCCUGUCCCUCCCGGAGCCGAACCCUUGGUGGUUUGUACAGCAGAUCCCAAAAAGCGAAGGCUGGGAAAGCGGCUGCUCUUUUCCUGUAGUCUUCUGGUAUGGGAAGCAGAGAGUCUCGAACCCCUAAGUUCACUGAACAGGUAUCUUGAAAAACAAACGACAUACAAACAAACGAGUCCUGACCGGGCUUCCUGGCUGCUGCUGCUGCUCAGGUUUCUCUUCCACCCAGUUCCCUUUCAACAAGAAAAGAUCAGGGAAACUCGACAGAAACCGUUAAAACAAUAUUGCAGCCGAACCCGCAGCAUCAGGGGAAAUGGGAGUGCAAAUCAUUAACAGCUGAGGGUUAGAUUAACACACCAUGGAUCGUAUCCUCUCCCAGGGACUCAUUUUCAUUUUCUCCAGGAGCCACUGAGGCUGGCCAUUUCCUUAAGGCCUCCAGUUCCUGUACGGAAAAUGUGGCAGGAGGAUGUAGCUGAUCCUUCUUUUUUUGGGAAAAGGCGUUCCUUCCGUCCUCUGCAUGGAGCUGGGUAGACUGAAGGGAAAGAAGUGGUGACCAUCCGACUGAGUCUGGGUAACCAAGAGAUUACAAUCAACUGGCUGGUAGGAGAAAGAAGUAAAGAAAAACUUCAAUGUUCUUGAUCAUUGCAUAGCAAAGAAAACCUCAGUCUACUUUGUUCCAUCCUUACUUUUGCUAUUUUGCAAAUAUUAUUUUCAUGAUUAAUAACUAAUCAGUCUGGAAAUUAAUGUGAUCCUUGCCUUUUAAAAUAAAUUGUAGAAAAAGUA